rnacentral:rRNA from 1 species
UGGGGAAUAUUGGACAAUGGGCGCAAGCCUGAUCCAGCCAUACCGCGUGGGUGAAGAAGGCCUUCGGGUUGUAAAGCCCUUUUGUUGGGAAAGAAAUCCAGCUGGUUAAUACCCGGUUGGGAUGACGGUACCCAAAGAAUAAGCACCGGCUAACUUCGUGCCAGCAGCCGCGGUAAUACGAAGGGUGCAAGCGUUACUCGGAAUUACUGGGCGUAAAGCGUGCGUAGGUGGUCGUUUAAGUCUGUUGUGAAAGCCCUGGGCUCAACCUGGGAACUGCAGUGGAAACUGGACGACUAGAGUGUGGUAGAGGGUAGCGGAAUUCCUGGUGUAGCAGUGAAAUGCGUAGAGAUCAGGAGGAACAUCCAUGGCGAAGGCAGCUACCUGGACCAACACUGACACUGAGGCACGAAAGCGUGGGGAGCAAACAGGAUUAGAUACCCUGGUAGUCCACGCCCUAAACGAUGCGAACUGGAUGUUGGGUGCAAUUUUGGCACGCAGUAUCGAAGCUAACGCGUUAAGUUCGCCGCCUGGGGAGUACGGUCGCAAGACUGAAA